AGGACCGCAUGGUCUAGUGUAGAAAACUCCGGUGGUAUGAGAUGGACCCGCGUCUGAUUAGCUAGUUGGUGGGGUAACGGCCUACCAAGGCGACGAUCAGUAGCCGGCCUGAGAGGGUGAACGGCCACAUUGGGACUGAGACACGGCCCAAACUCCUACGGGGAGGCAGCAGGUGGGGAAUAUUGCACAAUGGGGGAAACCCUGAUGCAGCGACGCCGCGUGAGUGAAGAAGUAUUUCGGUAUGUAAAGCUCUAUCAGCAGGGAAGAAAAUGACGGUACCUGACUAAGAAGCACCGGCUAAAUACGUG
rnacentral:rRNA from 1 species